rnacentral:rRNA from 1 species
UACGUAGGGUGCGAGCGUUGUCCGGAAUUAUUGGGCGUAAAGAGCUUGUAGGUGGUUUGUCGCGUCUGCCGUGAAAGUCCGGGGCUCAACUCCGGAUCUGCGGUGGGUACGGGCAGACUAGAGUGCAGUAGGGGAGACUGGAAUUCCUGGUGUAGCGGUGAAAUGCGCAGAUAUCAGGAGGAACACCGAUGGCGAAGGCAGGUCUCUGGGCUGUAACUGACGCUGAGGAGCGAAAGCAUGGGGAGCGAACAGG